rnacentral:lncRNA from 1 species
AUCACCUUUCCAUGCCAGUAGAAUAAAACACAAAAGCCACAAGAUCUGUGGUUCAAAGGGGUUCUGCCUUAUACAAGUGUCUGUUUAAAUUCUGUUUGAAAGAUAAGAGUUUAAAAAAAAAAAAACUUCAUCUCUGAAUUUCCAAAAAAUUAACAUCAAUUGACCUCUUUCUUUUUGAACCCCUUCAGCCAUAAAAUGGCGUGCGACUACUCCACUUAGUGUUUCUGAAUAUAAAUAAGGAUUUCAGGGCCACUCUCAAGAUGUUUGUUACCAAAGUUGUCAUCAGAUUUUCAGUAAUAUUUUUAUAUAGCCUAGAACCAGCUGAACGUUUGAGAUUUGACCUUUUUAAAAAGAAGAUAAUGGUAUCUAAAUGCAAUUUGUAUUUUUAGAACUAAGUUUUGAAGUCUUAUUUUGUUUUCUAACCAUUGUAUUAAAUUGUCUUUCUACUCAAUCCAGAGGGAAAAAAGUA